GCUCCAAGGAACAGGCAGCUCUAGUUAAC
rnacentral:piRNA from 1 species